CUGCGUAGUACGAGAGGAACCGCAGGUACGGACCAAUGGCACAAUACUUGUUCGAGCGAACAGUGGUAUGACGCUACGUCCGUUGGAUUAUGCCUGAACGCCUCUAAGGUCGUAUCCGUGCUGGACUGCAAUGAUAAAUAAGGGGCAAUUUGCAUUGUAUGGCUUCUAAACCAUUUAAAGUUUAUAAUUUACUUUAUAAACGACAAUGGAUGUGAUGCCAAUGUAAUUUGUAACAUAGUAAAUUGGGAGGAUCUUCGAUCACCUGAUGCCGCGCUAGUUACAUAUAAAAGCAUUAUUUAAUACAAUGACAAAGCCUAGAAUCAAUUGUAAACGACUUUUGUAACAGGCAAGGUGUUGUAAGUGGUUGAGCAGCUGCCAUACUGCGAUCCACUGAAGCUUAUCCUUUGCUUGAUGAUUCGA
rnacentral:ncRNA from 1 species